UGUAAUAUUCAUGUUUACCUAUAGAGUUUUUAUCCAUGAUACGUCUUUGUUACCUGCAGCUACCGAAGGUUCUCUGUAGGAAUUGAUUAUGUCCCCGUCGACAUCUCAUUUGGAGGUAUGUCAGUUAGUUGUAAGCGACCAUACACAAACAUAAUCUCAGCUAUGCCUUCGGAUAGUCCUGUAGCUGGAAGAGCUAGCUUCAAAAGCACUUGAUUUAGAUAAGGAAGUAGUCUUUGCUCUCCACCUUGAGAAAUGCUCUGAGGAUCUCCUACAGAACACCUCCAGAACAUUAUUGCUUCUGGAAUCAGAGCCAGCAAAAGGUAAAGGGAGCGAGAAGAAUGCACAGCCAACAUGUAAGACCUUUGAUUGAUAUAUGAUGAGACUGCAAAACAAACUCAACUCUCUAACGUUACCAAUCUAAUUAAUUAGUUUACCUGCUUUAUUAUUUAAUCUUUAUUUAUUUAAGUUCAGCAAAUAACAAAGAGAAUGACUUGGUCUCCUGACUUAUAGGAGAACAAACUCAACUCUCUCAUGUUGAGUUUUCCUCAAUUUCAUGUACCCAUUUGCUUCAUGUU